UGUGACGGGGUUACCCAAAGUGUUCAAUUUUGAACUGUGGUAGGUGAGUAAUGUUCCCUACUAGAAAGGAGAGGGCAAGGCUGGUGCCAGCCGCCGCGGUAAAACCAGCUCUUCAAGUGGUCGGGAUAAUUAUUGGGCUUAAAGUGUCCGUAGCCGGUUUAGUAAGUUCCUGGUAAAAUCGGGUAGCUUAACUAUCUAUAUGCUAGGAAUACUACUAUACUAGAGGGCGGGAGAGGUCUGAGGUACUACAGAGGUAGGGGUGAAAUCUUAUAAUCCUUGUUGGACCACCAGUGGCGAAGGCGUCAGACUGGAACGCGCCUGACGGUGAGGGACGAAAGCCAGGGGAGCGAACCGGAUUAGAUACCCGGGUAGUCCUGGCCGUAAACGAUGCAUACUAGGUGAUGGCACGGCCAUGAGCCGUGUCAGUGCCGUAGGGAAACCGUUAAGUGUGCCGCCUGGAAGUACGGUCGCAAGGCUA
rnacentral:rRNA from 1 species